ACUUUAUUGAAAUACAAUUUAUUACAGAAUUCACCCAUUUGAAGAGUACAAUUUAAUGGUUUUUAGCACAGAGAGCUGUGCUGUUAUAUACUUGCUAAAACUAGUAUUUUAAAUUUCUUAAAAUUUGUAAUUGUUUUUUACUAUCCCUUUAUUCUUACUUCUUUAACUUAUUUAUAAAGUGACUUAAAAUAUGAAAGGUGACUAAUAGACCCAGAUUGCAUUGUGCAAGUCUAGUCACACCUCCACUGUGUAAGCAAAAGGGGCCAGGAUCUUCUCACCUUCUGCAGCUGGGUCAGACACCAGCAUGAGCUA